AGAGUUUGAUCCUGGCUCAGGAUGAACGCUGGCGGCAUGCCUAAUACAUGCAAGUCGAACGAGAGGAAGGAAAGCUUGCUUUCCUAAAUCUAGUGGCGAACGGGUGAGUAACACGUAGGUAACCUGCCCAUGUGCCCGGGAUAACUUCUGGAAACGGAUGCUAAAACCGGAUAGGUAGCAGACAAGCAUUUGACUGCUAUUAAAGUGGCCAAGGCCAUGAACAUGGAUGGACCUGCGGUGCAUUAGCUAGUUGGUGAGGUAACGGCCCACCAAGGCGACGAUGCAUAGCCGGCCUGAGAGGGCGGACGGCCACAUUGGGACUGAGACACGGCCCAAACUCCUACGGGAGGCAGCAGUAGGGAAUUUUCGUCAAUGGGGGGAACCCUGAACGAGCAAUGCCGCGUGAGUGAGGAAGGUCUUCGGAUCGUAAAGCUCUGUUGUAAGAGAAAAACGGCACUCAUAGGGAAUGAUGAGUGAGUGAUGGUAUCUUACCAGAAAGUCACGGCUAACUACGUGCCAGCAGCCGCGGUAAUACGUAGGUGGCGAGCGUUAUCCGGAAUGAUUGGGCGUAAAGGGUGCGUAGGUGGCAGAUCAAGUCUGGAGUAAAAGGUAUGGGCUCAACCCGUACUUGCUCUGGAAACUGAUCAGCUAGAGAACAGAAGAGGACGGCGGAACUCCAUGUGUAGCGGUAAAAUGCGUAGAUAUAUGGAAGAACACCGGUGGCGAAGGCGGCCGUCUGGUCUGGAUUCUGACACUGAAGCACGAAAGCGUGGGGAGCAAACAGGAUUAGAUACCCUAGUAGUCCACGCCGUAAACGAUGAGAACUAGGAGUUGGGGGAAUA
rnacentral:rRNA from 1 species